rnacentral:lncRNA from 9 species
CUGUCAAAGAGGCAGGGGAGAAGUGGACUUAGAGGCAUGAGAGAUGGGGUCACGCCAAGAGCGAAGAGGACGGGGAAGCAGAGGAAGAGGCCGCCGGGAGGCUGGGGGCGGGCCCCGGGCGGCCGCGCUCACCUGUGGAUGUUCAUCUCCCGCGGAGGGCGGUGGGCCUUGUCGUAGGAGACCUUGGCGAAGACGCCGGCCACGAUGACGAAGGCGAUCACCCCGCAGGUGAUGUAGACGGUGAAGUUGGUCUUGUCCUUCUCCGGGUCGUACUUGUUCUCGGGCCCCGGCGACACCACCUUGGUGCUGGGCGUCUGCACCCACACCGGGCUCUGGUAGUUGGUGCACUGGCGCUGGUCCAGCUUCUCGUGGCGCUUCUUGCAGCAGAAGCGGUAGUAGCAGGUGCCGCAGCAGUACAGGUAGCCGCUCUCGCUGUUGUUGCACUCGAACUCCUUGUCGUAUUGGCCGCUCACGUCGUAGUAGCCCCAGCACGUCUCGUAGGUGACGGCCGCGUUGGCCGCCGCUCGGCUCAGGCGGGACCUGAAGCGCGGCUCCGGGCGGCGGCGGCGGCGUGGUCCCGUCCGGGCGGGUCCUGCGGGACAAGACGGGGAGCCGGUCACGGGGUGGGGCGACGGGCGAUCCCGCGGCGGGAGGCGGGAGGCGAGCGGCGGGCGGGGAGGGAGCGCGCAGCCCUCGAAGAGCGGGGCUUGGGGCCGGGCGGGGCGUAGAGCCGGCUCCCGAGACGGGGCCCCGCGGUUCCGGGGCGCACGGGCGCCGGAUUCCCGGCCGCCGGCCCCCGCGGCGCGCCCCCGCCGCUGCCAGCUCCCCGGGACGGAGCGGGCCGCGGCUGGGGUCGGGCGGCGAGCCGGGGAGCGCGCGGCGCCCGACCUCACUCACUCACCAUGCCCGGCUGCGACUGCAGAGGCGGCGGCGCGGCGGCGAGGCGGGAGCGCAGCGGCCGGAGCGAACGGGCGAGCGGGGAGCUGCCGGCUGGCCGCCUGCACUAGUGCCGGAGCGUGUGCGAGAGGAGCGAGGGAGACACACGCACUCACACACCCGUACACGCCGGAGCGCCGCGCGGGGAGGGGACGGCCGGGGACGGCGGGGGACGGCAGGGGAGGGGCGCGGAGGGGGGCAGCCGCUCACCGCCGCCCACGUCUCCACGCCCGGGCGCCCGGGGGAGGGGGGGCUCCUCCAGGCUGCUCCCCCCUCGCGGCGCUCCAAGCUCCGCGUCACCAGAGCCCAGGACACCAGUUCAUCAACAAGGCGAAG